ACACUAAUGGACACUGUGUUACACAGUGUCGAUUUGUGUCGUAGCUGGAAAGCACUGGAUGCGACUGUCGAUAGUUGUUUUUCUAAAUAUACCAAUUCGCUGUAAAUUCCUAUAUUAUUUAAAAUAUUUGCAAUCAAAUUAUCAAACUCAUUUUCAUGCUCCAAAGCAAUUCUCUAUAUUUGUGGUAAUUUAUGUGAUAAUUUGUGACAAAGGUGCUGACGCAUUCUGGAUGCGAAUUCUAUCUGGUUUCGUUAGGGAUUUGUGGCAUAAGGCCAUUUUUUUCCUUGAGUCAUUCAUGUGCUUGGUGUACAUUACGAAAAUACUUUUGAAUUUUAAUAAUCUUCUGCAGUAUGGUCUGAGGCGUUACAUCUUUUUCUACCAAAUUUAAGAGACGUGUCGAGCAUCCAUACCCCAAGCAGAACAAGUCAAAAUGACAUCAAAGUGAUUCACAAUUGUGUCAAAAUGACAUCAAAAUGAAUCGUAAUUAAUUGAAAAAUGACUUUUAAUGAUCAUUUUGCAGUCACUUUGACAUCAUUUUGACGUCUUGAUGACUUCCUGUUCUGCUUGGGUACGCAAUCAACUUUGGUUGUUUUUCUUUUAAAAUUUGCCACAUUUUAAACAUUUUAUUUUUAUUAUCCGUAACUACGGCAAAAACCUUUGCGUCGUACUUUCUUUCACAUUCUUUUAUAGUAGCUUCCACAACCUCAGCACAUCUUUUCUUCUCUGAUCCAGAAUUGUAAGCAUUAAAAAGAAAACUUUUAUUACCCAUAUGCAAACUUAUUGCCUGGAUGGGAUCAUUUCGAACAUUUGACCAGCUAUCUAACACAUAUUUUGGUAUUGGAUGAUAAAUGUUGCAAAGACUUCUGAAAUUGAUGCGCAAAUAGAGUGCAAUAAAGUAUCUCUAUACAUCUCUAUAUAUCUAAAAAAAUAAGUGACCUAAAUAGGAAAGAUACAACUGGCAAGAAAGAAGCCAAUGUGUCCAAGCAAAAAGAUAUGAAAAAUAGCAAGGCUGCCAAAGUUGUCAAAGAAUCUGUAGAAUCUGCAAAAAAUAAUAAAGAUACAGAAAUAUAAUGUACAAAAAGUGUAAAUAUAGAAGGUAAUAUCACACAUGUAUGUAUACUCGCUCAGACAGGCACAUACACGCACGCACACACACACACGCACACACACGAAGAAGAGCCCGCCACGAAUGCGUAAGCUAAUAGAAAGAGACAGGAAACGAGAUGAUCCCCACCAUCCUUGUUCAAUCGCGCAUGCGCUGUUGAUUUUCUUAGUCAAGUGGAGAGGAUUUGAGGCAAAGUACACCAUACCCACUCAGCACCACUCAGCUCGAUGCACGUGCACAACAUUAAACAAGGACAGUGAGGAUUAUCUCAUUUUCUUUCUCUUACUAUUAGCUAAACGCUUCCACUUACAGGAGCACUGUGCCUAUUACACACCUUGUCUUCUUUGCUCGACGCUGGGUCGAGAGAGGACACGAAUUGACGUGCUGAAGAAACUCGGUGUUCCUUGCUAUGCGCCUAUACGGGUGGUAUACGGGAUACCACGGUUGGUCGCGCGCUGUUUUAAUUUUUAAUUGCAUAAAGAAAUCGGAUAUGAAGAUUCGUUUGAAAAAUAAUGUAAAUAGAAUUACGAUUUUUAAUAAUAAAUUAAAAUUAUGUCACCACGGCAAUAUAGCUUCAAUUCAUGGGACUGUUACUUUAUGUCGAGACAUAAUUUUAAUUAAUUAAUAAAACUUGUAAAUCUCUUUAAACAAUUACUUAUUAAAAUAAUCUGUAUUAGAAAAUAAUUUUAAUUUACGAUUAAUUUGCAAAACACGUACGUGCGCGGCUUCGCGUGUGCGGCAGUCGAGCGCCAGCGCGGAGGGACACUAUUUUUGCCGAUGCGUGUACAUACAUGAAAUGUACAUGACGAGAAGGUCGGGUAGUACCAGACAGCGGGUAGUAUCGGAUAAAGUUAUUCCAACCAUUUGCCUCUGAAGUAGAACCAUAGUAGAACCAUAGUAGAACAGUACCAUAGUAGAACAAACGGCAGUAGUGUUGACAAGUUACAAUAAAUUUUGUAUUGUAUAUAGCUGUUUUCAAUGAAGAUAAUUUCUGGCUGUUGUGACUUGUCUGAAAGUAAGUGUAAAUAAGUUUUUAGUUUAUUGUUAGAAACAACAUUUAUUAGCUUUUAAGUUGUAGGCUAUAAAUCUUGUUAUGCUUACUAAUAUGCAAGUGACAGCCGAUUUUUUGUUACGUGCUGUUUGGGUUGUAUCGGACUGAUGAAUUGCUGAUUGUAUUGGACAAUCUUUACUGUGAUAAAACUUAAAUUCUCACAUUUUUUGUAUUACAGGGCAAUAUGAGCAAAUUACGUCAUAUAGUAUAUGGGACGAAAAGAAUAUGAAGGAAGCCAUAGAAAAAGUUAGAAUUAAAAAAAUAACUAUUAGAAAAAAAAUGUUAAAAAAAUAUUAAAAAUGUUAAAAUAUUAAACUUUUAAAGACUGUUUAUUUUAUUUGUUGUUACGUUAAGAAAAUUCAUUUUUAUUUAUUAACUUAUGUUAUUUAUAUAAUAAUAUAAAAUAAUAAUAUUAAUGUGGGGCUGUAGCUUUCCACGAUAAUACCGAUAAUAUCGAUGCCGCGACAGUGGAAAAAGAGGACGCUCUAGAGAACGACGUGACACAAACAGGACGAACAAAGAGAUAAAAUAUAGCAGUUAGAAAAGAUAACUUAACAAAGAGACACGACACACAUCUACACAUUACACAGGAUAAACGUGUAUUGUACACUGUUUUUUUUAAAUAAAUAUUUUAAUCUCAAACAACCAAA